rnacentral:rRNA from 1 species
GCUGGCGGCAGGCCUAACACAUGCAAGUCGAACGGUAACAGUUUCUAGCUUGCUAGAAGAUGACGAGUGGCGGACGGGUGAGUAAUGCCUGGGAAUUUGCCUUUGUGAGGGGGAUAACCAUUGGAAACGAUGGCUAAUACCGCAUAAUAGCUACGGCUCAAAGUGGGGACUUGUUCCUCGCGCACAAAGAGAAGCCCAGGUGAGAUUAGCUAGUUGGUGAGGUAAAGGCUCACCAAGGCGACGAUCUCUAGCUGUUCUGAGAGGAAGAUCAGCCACACUGGGACUGAGACACGGCCCAGACUCCUACGGGAGGCAGCAGUGGGGAAUAUUGCACAAUGGGCGCAAGCCUGAUGCAGCCAUGCCGCGUGUGUGAAGAAGGCCUUCGGGUUGUAAAGCACUUUCAGUUGUGAGGAAAGGUUAGUAGUUAAUACCUGCUAUCUGUGACGUUAACAACAGAAGAAGCACCGGCUAACUCCGUG